rnacentral:misc_RNA from 1 species
AAGUCGUAACAAGGUUUCCGUAGGUGAACCUGCGGAAGGAUCAUUACUGAGUCAGGGUCCUCUGGGCCCGAACCUCCAACCCUAUGUUUAACUACUUUGUUGCUUUGGCAGGCCCGUCCUUCGGGGCCGCCGGGGUGUUCAAUCACCUCUGGUCAGUGCUUGUCAGUAGCCAAUCCAAAUUCUUUAUAAUAAUGAAGUCUGAAUCUUUAAUUAAAUUUAAUUAAA